UAUGUUAUUUUAGAAGAUAAUUGCCUCGUGCUUUUAUAUCUAUCGCCAUGGCUGACAUGAACCUGUUCCAAAGGACUGUGCCAGGGGAAUUUGAAGUGUGUGUGCUGCAAGACAGCCUAGUUCACUCCGAAGCCAAGCUGUCCAUAGAAUGCUAUGAGACCGACGAAACUCAUGAUAUAGCCCUGAAAAAAAUUGAUUCAGAUACAAUAAAACUUGCAAUUCCAUACUGCAUACCCGAAAAAUUCACAAUAUCUGAACUUGAAAAACGAAUUAUUAAGUGUUAAGAAACAAUUGUUGCAACCAAGACAAGAACAGUUGCUGUAAAUAUCGACGCGGUAAAAACCUGGAAUAACACAGGAUUUGUGUAUAUAUUGUUGAAAUGCUUUCACGAAUAUGCACACACCAACCCGAAGUAGGCCUACUUAAGAGUCACUGUGUGUAGUACUCAACAGCAAGUAUGUGAAAGUGCCAAGAAAGCAUGUGCAGAAUUAUUGAGCAUGUUGAACGAUAACGCAUCAGAAGACGCAGAACAGGCUUUAUAUUCUGCCAAUGAUUUCGAUCCCAGCAAGAACCACAACAUAGGUGGUAUAAAAGAUUCAAGAGGCAAUACAAAUGU